rnacentral:rRNA from 1 species
UACGGAGGAUCCGAGCGUUAUCCGGAAUUAUUGGGUUUAAAGGGUUCGUAGGCGGGCUUGUAAGUCAGGGGUGAAAGUUAGCGGCCCAACCGUUAAAUUGCCUUUGAUACUGCUGGUCUUGAAUACUUGUGAAGUAACUAGAAUAUGUGGUGUAGCGGUGAAAUGCAUAGAUAUCACAUGGAAUACCAAUUGCGAAGGCAGGUUACUAACAUUUAUUGACGCUAAUGAACGAAAGCGUGGGUAGCGAACAGGAUUAGAUACCCUGGUAGUCCCUGAG